rnacentral:misc_RNA from 1 species
CCUCUCACACAAAGAUGGUCGCCGUUCGCGCUAAGGUUGGCUCCCGCAGCUACGUCCGCCAGAAGCAGCUGGCCAAGGGCAAGAAGGUCUUCAAGAUCGACUGCAGCAUCCCGGCCGCCGACGGCAUCUUCAGCGAGGAUGUGCUUAGCAACUUCGAGCAGUUCUUCCAGGACAACACGAAGCUGAACGGGCGCAAGGGCAAGCUGUCUGAUAAGGUCCGCCUGUCGAUGAACGACAAUGUUCUGACCAUCAGCACCACGAUGGCGUACCGCAAGAAGUAUUUCAAGUACCUCACGAAGAAGUUCCUCAAGAAGAAGGACCUGCGCGACUGGAUCCGCAUCCUCGCCACCGGCAAGGGGACGUACCAGCUCAAGUACUUCAACAUCCAGGACCAGGAGGAAUAGUCGCGCCACCAUACAGAGCCGCUGCUCUUUGUCCGCAAAACUCGCUCACACCCAGGCAGGACGUUGCAGAGCCGUGCAUGUGUGUGCGUGUGAGCGUGGAUGCCCUUUUUUUUUUGCUUUCGGCGCUGCAUCUCUUUUCCUUCGCUUCACACCUUCGCAAUGCGUCACGCCUUUGUUCAGCGGCCGCCAGCGCAGCCUGACGAGGAGGGGAAAGUACGAAAAGGAGGCCGGAGGGUCACUGUAGCAGUAAGGAGCAACCAAAGCAAGCAAACAAAAAGUGGGCGCGUCUGCGGUGCAUCGCUGCCGUGCCCGGGAGUGCGUCACAUGCGUUCGGCAUGAAUGGCGUACGCUCAGAGGCUAAGUUGACGCUUUCGUUUUUUUUUCUCUUUAUUUCACCUUGACAAACUAAAAUACCUGAUGAAGAAACAAAAAAUAAAAAGCGACACUUCGCACGAAAGACGACGGGGAAGCGGGGGCUCGUGCUGAGGGGGAGACUCACUGUGGUGACAGGAAGAUGACCAUGUGGAUUGUGUGGGUUUGUGUGUGUGGGGGAUGGGGGCGACAAACAGCAGGCGAUGUGGCUACGAGGUCGAGCGGAGAGGAAGAAAGCCAAGGAGGAGGUAGAUAAACCCGUCCUUCCUUGAAAUCCUCAGCUAGCCCAGCCGGUGUACCUUGUGGCGUUCGAGCGACGUGCUUUUGCCGUCACGUGCAAACGACAAGUGGCACCCUUCACCACCCUCUUUGUCUCCUUGCGCAUAGAUAUGUGUCUAUAUUGCAGCCCCCUCCUCCCCCUCCCCCAAUGCAGGACUUGGACCAAGGGGAGGUACGCGAGCCCUGCUUGUCAAGAUACAGACUCCUCUUCCCACCCCCUCGUCUCCUCCUCUGUGUGUAUGGGAAUCCACCCUAUCUUUUUCUUCGCCACCCUCUCUCGCUCCGUGCUCUCUCGCCUGCUGCGUCACGGCGUCGCUUCUGUGCUCGUGCGGGCAG